CUCAUUCUCCCCCCUACUAUUUUUUCCUUGACAAAUGGUAAACGAAUAAUGGCUUGAACAUCGACUCUUAUUUACCUUACCACUUUUAUUUGAUCUUCUUCCCCUUCCCAUUCUUGCCCUCCCCACUUUUAUGUGAUGUUCUCUCUAUCUCUAUUGUUAUGUGAUAGCAUCUUCGAAUGAAUGGUGAAGGAAAUCAGACAGAGGCAGUUCAAUGUGGCGAAGGAGUUUGAACAAUGUGGUGAGUUAAGGGUGAUUUUACACAAACAUAUCCCUCCUGCACCACUACUGAUCUACAACGAUGAAAAGUGCUUCCAUCUAAUAAUGGUGACAUGAUCAAAUGGUGGAUAGCGGCGACAAUGAAGGCUUGGAUGAUAGUGGACAUCAUUUUUUCUUACAAAUUAGAAAUUUUUUUCAAACUCCAACCAUUGUAGUGAAUAUUUCUUCGUAGAUUUUUUGGACAUUGUUCUUUUGUGUAGAAACUAAUCUUUGAUU